AGAGUUUGAUCAUGGCUCAGGAUGAACGCUGGCGGCGUGCCUAAUACAUGCAAGUCGAGCGAACCACUUCGGUGGUGAGCGGCGAACGGGUGAGUAACACGUAGGUGAUCUGCCCAUCAGACGGGGACAACGAUUGGAAACGAUCGCUAAUACCGGAUAGGACGAAAGUUUAAAGGUGCUUCUGGCACCGCUGAUGGAUGAGCCUGCGGCGCAUUAGCUAGUUGGUAGGGUAAAGGCCUACCAAGGCGACGAUGCGUAGCCGACCUGAGAGGGUGAACGGCCACACUGGGACUGAGACACGGCCCAGACUCCUACGGGAGGCAGCAGUAGGGAAUCUUCGGCAAUGGGCGAAAGCCUGACCGAGCAACGCCGCGUGAAUGAUGAAGGCCUUCGGGUUGUAAAAUUCUGUUAUAAGGGAAGAACGACUUUAGUAGGAAAUGGCUAGAGUGUGACGGUACCUUAUGAGAAAGCCACGGCUAACUACGUGCCAGCAGCCGCGGUAAUACGUAGGUGGCGAGCGUUAUCCGGAAUUAUUGGGCGUAAAGAGCGCGCAGGUGGUUGAUUAAGUCUGAUGUGAAAGCCCACGGCUUAACCGUGGAGGGUCAUUGGAAACUGGUCGACUUGAGUGCAGAAGAGGGAAGUGGAAUUCCAUGUGUAGCGGUGAAAUGCGUAGAGAUAUGGAGGAACACCAGUGGCGAAGGCGGCUUCCUGGUCUGUAACUGACACUGAGGCGCGAAAGCGUGGGGAGCAAACAGGAUUAGAUACCCUGGUAGUCCACGCCGUAAACGAUGAGUGUCUAAGUGUUGGGGGUCGAA
rnacentral:rRNA from 1 species